GUGAAAUGGAGUGAGGCAUACCAGGAUAUGUGUGGUUUUACUCUUGGGAAGGAGUUUGAACAGUGCAAUAUUUCUUCUAUAGCAUUGCAGUGACCAGACAUGCUACUGUAACUCUCAUGGUCAUGUGCUGGAAUUAGCAGAUAUUCAACAAUUUGGCCAUCUCGCUGACCUAUUGAUAUCAGAAGACCGCAGCAGCUCUGCAAAGCAAGUUGCAAAACAGAAUCCAUGAAACUGGCAGUGACCGGAAACCAAUUGGAAGACUUUGGUCUGUGAUGUAGAGGAGUGGACAGACGCAGAAGCAAAGACAACAAAAAGAAGUGAUAUGGAUGUCUUCAUCAUAUGGCAUGACUCUGCUGACCCAGCAACAAAGAGGAGGGUGUUCAACAUCAUCCUGCUAGUCAGGAUUCUUCAGGAGAAGCAGUGGAUUCUUGUGGCAGAGAUGGCCAACCGCUAUAAAUACCUUUCAACUCAUCCUGGUUGCUUCAAAGAACUGUCCUGCUUGUUUGAUACUGAAAAGUACUGGUAUGUAUUUGUAUUAUUUGGCACAGACAUAAGCAUAAGGUUACCCAGUCCAAAGGAUAUUAAUAUAUUUUUAUGUUGUUGUGUUCUUCUUUUAAGAUUCGACAUGUGGCCUAAACGAAGAGGGGUUAAAAGGUCUGUUGAUCAUCCUUCUCAGAAAGCAACAAAAUAACUGAGAAAUAAACAACAAUAUGAUGGUGCAAUCUAGAGACCUGCAAGGUACCUGCAAGUUUUGACUGGAGCAGAGAACAUAGAUUUUUUUAAAUAAAGCUCCAGCUGAUGAGUAUGACAUUGACUGUGGAUUUUCUUUUACUGUAAUCCAGAAGAGGAUGACCUUAACCCUGAAUCUAAAGCAUGUAAUAAAAUCUGUAAAAAUAAAAUAAAAUUUUCAUCAUCUAUAACCAAAUUGUUGUC
rnacentral:lncRNA from 1 species